rnacentral:rRNA from 1 species
UACGGAGGGUGCGAGCGUUAAUCGGAAUUACUGGGCGUAAAGCGUGCGUAGGCGGUUAUUUAAGUCAGAUGUGAAAGCCCCGGGCUUAACCUGGGAACGGCAUUUGAUACUGGGUAACUAGAGUUGAGUAGAGGAGAGGGGAAUUUCAGGUGUAGCGGUGAAAUGCGUAGAGAUCUGAAGGAACACCAGUGGCGAAGGCGCCUCUCUGGACUCAAACUGACGCUGAGGUACGAAAGCGUGGGUAGCAAACAGG